rnacentral:rRNA from 1 species
UGCCUACGGGGGGCAGCAAUUAGGAAUCUUGCGCAAUGGGCGAAAGCCUGACGCAGCGACGCCGCGUGACUGAUGAAGUCUUUCGGGAUGUAAAGGUCUUUUGCAGGGGACGAAGGAAGUGACGGUACCCUGCGAAUAAGCCCCGGCUAACUACGUGCCAGCAGCCGCGGUAAUACGUAGGGGGCGAGCGUUGUCCGAAUUCACUGGGCGUAAAGCGCGCGUAGGCGGGUUGUUAAGUUGUGGGUGAAAUGCCGAGGCUCAACCUCGGAACUGCCUGCAAAACUGGGAGCCUUGAGGUAUGGAGAGGGAAGUGGAAUUCCAGGUGUAGCGGUGAAAUGCGUAGAUAUCUGGAGGAACACCCGUGGCGAAGGCGGCUUCCUGGCCAUAUCCUGACGCUGAGGUGCGAAAGCUAGGGGAGCGAACGGGAUUAGAUACCCCGGUAGUCCG